CCAUGCUUAAUAUUUCAGAAGAUGCUUUCAGGGAAAUGGGAUUGCUGCUUAGUCCACGAAUAUGUUAUUUCUCCAGGUUUAGACAAUUGGGAGAUGUAGGAAGAACAUACAAGGCAACAAAUGUUUCUUUCUUUUAUAGACAUAUAAUGCUUCAUUAAAAGGACAGCAACAGUCACUGAGAAUCCCAUACAGCUCUUUCAGCCUAUGAGCAGAAGUGGAAUAUAUAGAGAGCAAGAUUUAAAGAAACAGAGACAGUUACUUGGAUCCAAAAUGGUUGUUCACACAAGGAGCCGGGUCUGCAUAAUUGUAUCACUAAUCAGCAGUAAGGCAAUUAGUUGUGUGAUUUCUCUCCCAGCUCCAAAUGAGAGACCUUUCUGUGCUCUGCCAAGACCUGUCAUCUGGGAACUCUGCUACCUAGAUCUACAAGAAAAUCAGAGCAUCUUGAUUUGAUCAACAAACGUGUUAUAUUUCUUACCUGGUAGAUAGGCUUUGGGGCUUAAACAUUCUGUAGGUAAGGUUUCAAGGAAUAGACCCAAACAUAGCAGUGAAUCCAAAAAGCCAGGAGGAUCAAGAUGGUACUGAAAAUUAAAAUGUAAGAAAGUAAACCUCCUGAGUGUGUAGUUGUUAAUCCUACAUGGUUGCUGAUGAUCACUUGUGACAAACCUAUGCUUCUUUCCUACUCUAGACACUCCUCAAGGGUCUCUCUUAACAGUGGGGACUUGCCAAAGGAAAUCUGAAUGGGCUGACACUUGCUCUGUAGAAGUCACCAGAUAGAAAUUAGAAUCAGGGAAAAAGGCGAGAUGGUUGAUGGUCUGGCAACACGUUUCCUGGUGACAAUGUAUCCUGAAACUAGUAAUUUUAGUAUGUGAAAGGAAUUCAGCCAAGCUCCAACCUGAAAGACAGCCGUGAAUGUUCUCAGCGAGAAUCUCAGCAGGGCUACAGUUCCUUGUAUUUUAGACCUGGGAAUGAUCCCCCUGAAAUCUUGCCUUCUUUGUCGUCUAAUUGGCUGCAUCGGUAAAUUGCUGGUGGUGAACUUUAAAGGUUAUAGAGCAGGAAUAGGCUGCAGCUUUACAGGAAGGCAGGUGUGAGGCCAUUAAACAUGCACUGAAUCCCAGUGCUUUUAAUCCCACUGACCAAUUACUUGAACUUUAACUUGGAGCAAGUAACAGAAAACUGGGUUCCUAGUGUGUCCAUGUGUAUGUUUUAAAUACAUAUGUGUUGUAUAUACUAUAAUUGAUCAUGAAACAUUAUUCAUAUAUUUUCUUUCCUCUUUUUCACUUUUUCCUUUGACUUGCUUAAAAUUGUUGAUAUGAUUCUACCUUAAAAUACUGGAAAAUGCUUUUAAAAUAACUUCUUAGAGAAGGUUAGUAAGAACUCAAGAUUGGAUGGAGAUUUAUACCAGAUGAGGCAUUUUCACUUCUAGUAAUUCAAUGUUUUUAUAUCAAGGAUU
rnacentral:lncRNA from 1 species